GGGGAUGUAGCUCAGUGGUAGAGCACUUGCCUCGAAUGCGUGAGGCCUGGGUUCAGUCCCCAGCACCACG
rnacentral:tRNA from 1 species